UCUGUGGCUGCUUUUGCUGUUUCGGCUGUGGCUUCCCAGUGGGAGAGGACCGGCAAACCAUUUAAUCCACUCUUGGGAGAAACGUAUGAAUUAAUCAGGGAAGAUUUAGGAUUCAGAUUUAUAUCGGAACAGGUCAGUCACCACCCCCCCAUCAGUGCGUUCCACUCGGAAGGUCUCAACCAUGACUUCCUGUUCCACGGCUCCAUCUACCCCAAGCUCAAGUUCUGGGGCAAAAGCGUGGAGGCGGAGCCCCGAGGCACCAUCACCCUGGAGCUGCUCAAACAUAAUGAAGCCUACACCUGGACCAACCCCACCUGCUGCGUCCACAACGUCAUCAUCGGGAAGCUGUGGAUAGAGCAGUAUGGGACAGUGGAGAUUUUAAACCACAGAACCGGACAUAAGUGUGUGCUUCACUUUAAACCGUGUGGAUUAUUUGGAAAAGAACUUCACAAGGUGGAAGGACACAUUCAAGACAAAAAGUAGGUCCUUGCCAGGUGUUCAUGGGGCACCACUACAGCCUGUGUGUCCACGUUAGAGGGCUCAGGUGCUCCUGAGCCUGCGUGUGCCGACGUGCACGAGACGCGGGUACACCAGUGCCUUCUGUUCAUGGUCCAGAAGUAUGACUCUUUUUUGUUUUGGAAAGACAUUUUGUUAUUGAGCAUAAGAUGAAAUAAAGGGUAUUUUUGAAUGUA
rnacentral:sRNA from 1 species